rnacentral:tRNA from 1 species
GUUCCCGUGGUGUAGUGGUUAUCACGUGCGCCUCACACGCGCAAGGUCCCUGGUUCGAUACCGGGCGGGAACA